AUUGAACGCUGGCGGCAGGCCUAACACAUGCAAGUCGAACGAGCGGCGGACGGGUGAGUAAUGUCUGGGAAACUGCCUGAUGGCGGGGGGUAACUACUGGAAACGGUAGCUAAUACCGCAUACCAUCAGAUGUGCCCAGAUGGGAUUAGCUAGUAGGUGGGGUAACGGCUCACCUAGUCGACGAUCCCUAGCUGGUCUGAGAGGAUGACCAGCGACACUGGAACGGAGACACGGUCCAGACGCCUACGGGAGGCAGCAGUGGGGAAUAGUGCACAAUGGGGGCAAGCCUGAUGCAGCCAUGCCGAGGGUGUGAAGAAGGCCUUGGGGUUGUAAAGCACUUUCAGCGGGGAGGCGUUACCCGCAGAAGAAGCACCGGCUAACUCCGUGCCAGCAGCCGCGGUAAUAC
rnacentral:rRNA from 1 species